UGGGCGUAAAGAGCACGUAGGCGGAUUGGUAAGUCGGUUGUGAAAGCCCCGGGCUCAACCUGGGAACUGCAGUCGAAACUGCCAGUCUUGAAUGCAUGAGAGGUUAGUGGAAUUCCAGGUGUAGGAGUGAAAUCCGUAGAUAUCUGGAAGAACAUCGGUGGCGAAGGCGGCUCACUGGUCCGAUACUGACGCUGAGGUGCGAAAGCGUGGGGAGCAAACAGGAUUAGAUACCCUGGUAGUCCACGCCGUAAACGAUGGAUACUCGGUGUUAGGUUAUUCAAUCGACCUAGUGCCUAAGCUAACGCGUUAAGUAUCCCGCCUGGGGAGUACGGUCGCAAGAUUAAAACUCAAAGGAAUAGACGGGGACCCACACAAGCGGUGGAGCAUCUUGUUUAAUUCGAUAAUAAGCGGGGAACCUUACCUAGGCUUGACAUCCCACAGAAUUUUCUGGAAACAGAAAAGUGCCUUUUGGAACUGUGGUGACAGGCGCUGCAUGGUCGUCGUCAGCUCGUGCCUUGAGGUGUUCGGUUAAGUCCGUAAACGAGCGCAACCCUAGUCGUAUGUUGUAUUUCUCAUACGAGACUGCCGGUUACAAAUCGGAGGAAGGUUAGGUCGAAGUCAGAUCAGCAUGGCCCUUAUGCCUAGGGCUACAAAGGUGCUACAAUGGUAUGUACAGCGGGCAGCAAAGGAGUGAUCCUAAGCCAAUCCCUUAAAGCAUAUCUAAGUUCGGAUUGUAGUCUGCAACUCGACUACAUGAAGUUGGAAUCGCUAGUAACCGCAUAUCAGCCAUGGUGCGGUGAAUUUGUUCCUGGGUCUUGUACUCACCGCCCGUCAAGUGAUGAAAGGUGGGGGCGCCCAAAGUCCCUCGUUUCUGAGGGCCUAAGGUGAAACCACUGAUUGGCACUAAGUCGAAACAAGGUAUCCGUAGGAGAACCUGCGGAUGGAAUACCUCCUUUCUA
rnacentral:rRNA from 1 species